rnacentral:rRNA from 1 species
AAUGAACGUUGGCGGCGUGGAUUAGGCAUGCAAGUCGUACGCACAGCUUCGGCUGUGAGUGGCGCAAGGGUGAGUAAUGCGAAGGUAACCAACCCUGGUGUUGGGCAUAACCGCGGGAAACUGCGGGUAAUUCCCAGCGACGUCGCGAGAUGGCAUCAUCUUGCGACCAAAGGUGUGAUUCCGCUCUAGGACGGGCCUUCGUGGUAUUAGGUAGUUGGUGAGGUAACGGCUCACCAAGCCGACGAUGCCUACCGGGUGUGAGAGCAUGACCCGGCACACUGGAACUGAGACACUGUCCAGACACCUACGGGUGGCUGCAGUCGAGAAUCUUCGGCAAUGGGCGAAAGCCUGACCGAGCGACGCCGCGUGAGGGAAGAAGGGCCUUCGGUUGGUAAACUGCUUUCCUACGGGAGAGAAACUUAGCGCACGUGUUGCGCAAUUGA